CGUGUCUUUAUGAUCAGAGGAAGAAUACUUUAAUUUGAGGUGUCAUGGCAGCAACAAGUUCCAGUUGCAAUGUUUGAAGAUAUAGCCAACAGGGUUGGUUGUCAGAGUGGCUACAACUCGACCACUAGAGGAAACAGGUGAAAGACAGUGAUAGAAAAUGGGCAGGAAGUUUGUCCGGAAGACUACUUUUGGCCAGACACCCCCCUCAUGCUGUGGGCCAGUCUCUAAUAUGUUGUAUUGUUAUUGUCUGAUAUAUUGUUCUUUAUACUGAUUUUUUUUUAUUCUGACACUGAUACUAAAGUACAAAAUGAUUCAGCCAGUUUGUGG